rnacentral:rRNA from 1 species
UACGUAGGGUGCAAGCGUUGUCCGGAAUUAUUGGGCGUAAAGAGCUCGUAGGCGGUCUGUCGCGUCGAAUGUGAAAAUCCGGGGCUCAACCCCGGACCUGCAUUCGAUACGGGCAGACUAGAGUUCGGUAGGGGAGUCUGGAAUUCCUGGUGUAGCGGUGAAAUGCGCAGAUAUCAGGAGGAACACCGGUGGCGAAGGCGGGACUCUGGGCCGAUACUGACGCUGAGGAGCGAAAGCGUGGGGAGCAAACAGG